rnacentral:misc_RNA from 1 species
GGAAGGAUCAUUACCGAUGGCCGCCGUGAACGCCCCUGGCGGGAGCGACGGCCGUUACCACUACCCUACUUUACGCGUACCUUCUGUUCUCCUUCGGCGGGGCAACCCGCCGCUGGAACUACAAACAACCUUUGCAUUUAGCAUUACCUGUUCUGAUAACUUUUAAUAGUUACAACUUUCAACAAUGGAUCUCUUGGCUCUGGCAUCGAUGAAGAACGCAGCGAAAUGCGAUAAGUAGUGUGAAUUGCAGAAUUCAGUGAAUCAUCGAAUCUUUGAACGCACAUUGCGCCCCUUGGUAUUCCAUGGGGCAUGCCUGUUCGAGCGUCAUCUACACCCUCAAGCUCUGCUUGGUGUUGGAUGUCUGUCCCGCCUCGGCGCGUGGACUCGUCCCAAAGGCAUUGGCAGCGGUCUCUUGCACCUCUCGCGCAGCACAUUGCGCUUCUCGAGGCGGCGAGGUCGCGUCCAUCAAGCUCACAUACCGUCUUUGACCUCGGAUCAGGUAGGGAUACCCGCUGAACUUAAGCAUAUCAAUAAGCGGAGGAAAAGAAACCAACAGGGAUUGCCCUAGUAACGGCGAGUGAAGCGGCAACAGCUCAAAUUUGAAAUCUGGCUCCCUUGGGGGUCCGAGUUGUAAUUUGCAGAGGGUGCUUUGGCAUAGGCGGCGGUCUAAGUUCCUUGGAACAGGACAUCGCAGAGGGUGAGAAUCCCGUACGUGGGCGCCUGCCUUUGCCGUGUAAAGCCCCUUCGACGAGUCGAGUUGUUUGGGAAUGCAGCUCUAAAUGGGAGGUAAAUUUCUUCUAAAGCUAAAUACCGGCCAGAGACCGAUAGCGCACAAGUAGAGUGAUCGAAAGAUGAAAAGUACUUUGGAAAGAGAGUCAAAUAGCACGUGAAAUUGUUGAAAGGGAAGCGCUUGCAGCCAGACGUGCCCGCAGUUGCUCACCUAGGCUUUUGCCUGGGGCAUUCUUCUGCGGGCAGGCCAGCAUCAGUUUGGGCGGUCGGAUAAAGGCCUCUAUCACGUAUCUUCCUUCGGGAUGACCUUAUAGAGGAGGCGUAAUGCGACCAGCCCGGACUGAGGUCCGCGCAUCUGCUAGGAUGCUGGCGUAAUGGCUGUAAGCGGCCCGUCUUGAAACACGGACCAAGGAGUCUAACAUCUAUGCGAGUGUUUGGGUGUCAAGCCCGAGCGCGUAAUGAAAGUGAACGGAGGUGGGAACCUUUUAGGUGCACCAUCGACCGAUCCUGAUGUCUUCGGAUGGAUUUGAGUAAGAGCAUAGCUGUUGGGACCCGAAAGAUGGUGAACUAUGCUUGAAUAGGGUGAAGCCAGAGGAAACUCUGGUGGAGGCUCGCAGCGGUUCUGACGUGCAAAUCGAUCGUCAAAUUUGGGCAUAGGGGCGAAAGACUAAUCGAACCAUCUAGUAGCUGGUUCCUGC